GUAGUCCUGUGUAGUGUCUUUUGUGAAGCUGCUUGGAGUGUGGCUGCUAGCUGGUUUAGCCAGACUGCUGGUGAUGCUACUUGUACAGCCUACGUUGGUUGGGCUCGGGUGUUGUGCCCUUUUCACUGCUGCUGCUACAGGGUAGCUCUAGCCUCCAUGUCUCUCCGGUCACGGUGACCGGAUGAUCCAGUGAGUGACUGUCAUCUGGGUGGGCUGCUGUUUGUGGUUGAGUUUCGGACCAAUUAUGUGUGGAUGAUGUGUGAAUGAGUGAUUACACCUGAUAUUGAGUGUUGUUCAUGAGCGUUUGAGUGCCCCGGUAACGCCAGCAUUCUGGUUAGCGGUGUGAGCGUAUGAUGGGCUAAUUGCUAUAUAUUUUAUUUCUUUUGUUUCUUUUCUUUUAAGUGUCUUUGGUGUACA